rnacentral:rRNA from 1 species
CGGGUGGUAAUGCCGGAUGCUCCAGUCCAUCGCAUGGUGGUCUGGGAAAGAUUCUAUCGGUAUGGGAUGGGGUCGCGUCCUAUCAGCUUGAUGGCGGGGUAACGGCCCACCAUGGCCUCGACGGGUAGCCGGCCUGAGAGGGCGACCGGCCACAUUGGGACUGAGAUACGGCCCAGACUCCUACGGGAGGCAGCAGUGGGGAAUAUUGCACAAUGGGCGCAAGCCUGAUGCAGCGACGCCGCGUGCGGGAUGGAGGCCUUCGGGUUGUAAACCGCUUUUGAUCGGGAGCAAGCCCUUCGGGGUGAGUGUACCCUUCGAAUAAGCACCGGCUAACUACGUGCCAGCAGCCGCGGUAAUACGUAGGGUGCAAGCGUUAUCCGGAAUUAUUGGGCGUAAAGGGCUCGUAGGCGGUUCGUCGCGUCCGGUGUGAAAGCCCAUCGCUUAACGGUGGGUCUGCGCCGGGUACGGGCGGGCUGGAGUGCGGUAGGGGAGACUGGAAUUCCCGGUGUAACGGUGGAAUGUGUAGAUAUCGGGAAAGAACACCA